CUGGCACAUAGUUAGCCGGUGCUUCUUUUGUAGGUACCGUCACUUUCGCUUCUUCCCUACUGAAAGCGGUUUACAACCCGAAGGCCUUCAUCCCGCACGCGGCGUCGCUGGGUCAGAGUUUCCUCCAUUGCCCAAUAUUCCCCA
rnacentral:rRNA from 1 species